rnacentral:miRNA from 1 species
AAAUGUGUUGUCAUUCUGAUUAAGUGGUUCUCAACAGUUCAACAGUUCUUUGAGAAAAUUGUGAAAUGUUUAGGACCACUUGACCAGUCAGACAAAUGCU